UGCUACAAUCAAUGCAGCAGUGAUCGAUUUAGCGGGUCUAGUGAGCACCUGCUAAAUCAACAGCAGAGCGCUCUCCAGUUGAUCCCAGUACUCCAGCUCUCCAAGAAGAAUAAGGGAAGUCAACUGGAGAGUGUAUCCCAUUGACAGAGCGCAGUGAAGACACCAGGAGAAACUCCAGGACUGACAGCACACAAUAAAUCACGUCUAACAACGUGCCGAAAAACUGGCAAGAGACAGCUUGUACAGUGACAAAUACACCUGACAACAGGUGGUCAACAGGACAUUAACAUCUGCUACUGGAUUUGCUGGACAAAGGCAAACAGGACUUUGAUUGUUACCAAGCUAAGGCAAGUCUUCAUUGCAAUUUCUCUGCUGGCAAAGAGAAGCAGGUUUAAAACAAAUUGUCCUUGACAUAGAGCUAUAGUCAACACAGGAAUUGCCAUUUAGAGGUGAUAAUGAACCCUCUGUUUUCACACAAUAAGAGUUAUUUUAGUAUUUUCUCUUUAGCUACUUGCUGUUUCUGAAAGUUCAUAUUGUUAGAUAAGUUAGCACUGGAAGUGGAACAUUAUCCUGUCUUUUAUACCCAGUUCAUGAAGAAACAAUUGAUUUAGACAGUCAGGAGAUAAGAGCUGCUAUUAUUCAGAAAAUUCAAAGAGCCAACUUCUUUCUAGUGGAGGCUCAAAUCCAGCAGACAGCUUGAUUGUUUUGAAUGUUUACCCUCGUCCAUCCCUAUUUCACAACGGCCUUUCAGAUUAUUCACAUUGAAUGAUCAUCUGACAUAGCUUGGCACUUAACUGCCUGCAAGCUCUCAAAGAAGUCCAAAAGUAGUUUUGUACAUCUAAACUUCUAGUUACAUCUCAAUCGUGACUGGUAACAAAAUAGAUUGGAUUGCCACAUGGGAAACAAGAGCAGCAGCUGGGAAGAGCUUGCAAAAAUCUUCACAUUCCAGGGCACUUUCCCCACAGCCACCAGCACCAACUACAGCUAAUGUUAUAGGGGGCAGAGAAUGUCAAUCUGUCCCUUCCCACUGGAUCCAGAAGGGUCCUCUUCUAUUUAUCACG